AAAAAAUUGAGAAUCAUAAUUCUAGUAAAUGCUACAUAAUUAAUCUUUUUGCAAAAAUCUGAAAAGUUAUUAAUUCAAAAAAAAAAGGGUGAAACCUCCCUUUCUUAUGUCUCAACAGGUACAUUCAACAGUAAAUAAAAAGCAUCAGAAGGAGAAGAAUCAUGCAAGCAUGGACACCAACAAUCUUGUAAAGCACUUAACAACCAUUAAAUUGUGAGAGUCUACUUGAGUAACUUACAAUCCAAAGUCUUACAUUAUAACAGACAUCUCUUUAUGAGUGCUAGAUGAUGCAUUGAUUAAUCAUAAGUAAACAAAUAAAGAGCAAAAAAGGCGGCACUUCUACUAGAAUCCUAAAGAUUAUUGAUCUUACAACAUAGUCUCACCAUCUCCAAUUUAUCAAGAAACUCAGUCUCAUCUUCAUCCAAAGCUUUAGGAGGCCCUGCAACAAAACAAUUGAUUAAAGCUUCAUUCUUAAUCAAUACAUUCUGAAAAGCAGGAAUCUCUUAACUCAUUUUCCACCUCAUUGGGAAAUGGGCAGCCCUAAGAUAGGAAUGACCGGGCAAUUAAAUGUACUUUAACAACACAACUCUCACGGUCACACUUAAGAACGCACGAAUAAGAUGGAACAAUGCAUAGUGGACAAGGCAAUAAUCCAAAUUCUCUACUGAUAGGACACUGUAUACCAGUAGAGAGCUAAACACUACAUCUUCAUACAAUAUAUCAUGCUAGCCUUUCUAAGUCGAGUACUAACAGGAAAAGUAGCUAUAUAUGUUAACUUACAAACAGACGAU
rnacentral:misc_RNA from 1 species